rnacentral:lncRNA from 1 species
CUACCGAUGUCUUAUACAUCUACAUCAUUGAAAUCGAAUGUUAACAAUACUAACACUAAUUCACUGACCCAUUGGAAUUCUAAAGCUAAGUUUUGCAACAAAAGAAAGAAUUGAAAUAUGACAUAAAUACAAUAAUAGAAAGGGGAAAAGGAGAGAUUUAUUUCAGUCAUGUUACUCCAGGCCAUAGACAGGCAAUUUGCAAUCACACUCAAAAUCGGUGAUCGUGUUAAUGUUAUCCGUCAUGUAAAAAUUACAGACCAUUUCACCUUGAUUCACAACUACAACCUAAUCAUGCAUUUAGUAUAAUGGUGAGGCAGAAAAACAUAGCGAAACAGAAUAGAAACCUCUUUAAUUACAGCAGGACUUGAUGAAGUUAUCAAAGCUAGAUAAUCCAGGAACUCAUGAGAUGGACUUAGUCUUUGACGAAGCAUUUUGAUGUGCGGAUCCAAGUUUUUUGGAUCCAAUGAAGAAACCACUUCUUGUGAUGAAACAUUGAAUUUUGUACUAGAUUCAGAGUUCUGUCAUGCACAAUUGAAGAUUCAAACUGCUCCAGUACCAUUACAGAAAAUGUUCAAAAUGAUAUGGUGGGAGAGUUAACAAUCCCUUUCCCAAAUGAACAAGACCUUAGGCAAUCCGCACCUGCAGCAGUAGUAAUUCCCAAAAUCAGAGUGGAUUAGAUACUUAAUAUUACAGAGUUGACAUAAGAGAACAAGGAAAAUUAAUUCUUACACAGAACAAAGGUUAGCCUAUUUGUAGUAAUAACUGGACAGAAUAUACAGCAUGCCAGCUAUUCUGGCAUUGUUUUUUCCUAGACCUAUCAAUCCCAAAGAAAUGAUAGCAGCUUACAUACAAUAUUUAGAUAAGCAGUUCAUAUUUGAGAAUUUUUUUAUAGCAACAAAAUUAUCUACUUUCUGCUGUUCUUCAAACAUACCAUAGCUACUUUGGAGUAUAAAUCAUUACUAAGCUUGCUCAAAGUGUUCAUCGCAUUGACCUUUCUGAACCACCAAGAAGCAAAAUUUAUGCUUGCACAUGACCCAAAAAAAAAGAGGAAAAAGCCUGGGCAUCUACUGUUUAAGAGUGAAAGACCUGCUUGUUACACUAUCUGUUGUACAUCACCUGAUCCUGAUAUAUUGAUGAUAGUAUCGGGGCAGGUUUACACAACAACACUGGAGAACUUCCUAUACCAUCUCUACUUAAGUCUUCACCCAAAGGAACCCCUAGAAUCACUAAACUACCCAUUUAGAUGCAAUAUUAUACAGGUCCUCCUUAUCAAAGGUGAAAAUAUCCAUUGACAUGCCAUUUAUUCUAUAGUAGAGUCAGUGGAGCAUAUCAGAGUUAUUUAACUAAGUUAUUAAUAAUUUUUUGACAUUUUAAAUUUGGCAAUUACUACUUUAUAUAGUUGUUUCAUCGGAGGGGGUUCGGAUGAACCCCGAACCACAAGGUGGCUCCGCCAAUGUCUGUGAAGUUAAACACCUAAAGUAAAUUCGCCACACAAGUUUAGAAUUGUUUUAAUAUCUCUUCUCUACGGUAUUAAACAGUGGAAAUGACACCAUCUAAUUAAUAUUGGUGUCAAUUCCAAUAACUUAUAGCUGCAAUUUGUGACUGGUUUUACAAGUGCAAAUAACUUUUUAAAGCCACUUCUAUUCUUAUUAUUUCAGUAAAUCAUCAACAUUAUGCCAAAUAUACAAAAAAAUUAGUCUGGCCAGAAAUAAAUAAUACUCGUGCCGAAAUAUUACUCCACAUGUCUCAACCGAGAGUCUGCUCUCCCUUUUUAACCACUUAAGCUAACUGCCACACCACAUUUCCUCCCCCAAAAGAAAAUAUUUUAGUUGGAUUUUCAUGAUUCCUGAUGUUCAGGAGACACAAAUUGGAUAUACUUCCUACUGUUGUGUUGUAGAUGUCUAUCGAAUAAGCAAAUCAACAUAAUUAGUUUCCUCAAUCUGACUGCAAUCACUAGGCAAUACUUGUGUAGCAUUUUCUAAGUAACAUGCUAAGGAUCAUCCUUUCUACUAACAUCAUUUCUCGUUAAUCUGAAAACACACAUGAAAAAGAAUAACAAUCUAAACAUAGAAACUACAUUAUAUACAAAUUAAAUCAACAAUUAAGACUACAAUAAUUAAAACUCUAACAAGUAACACUCAUCUUACUCAACUUCUGGUUGUCAAUAUAACGCAUUUCAACAUCUUCCCUAACAUAAUGACUGCAAUCAUUAGAAUUACAAGGAGAAAUAAAAACGCAAUUAAAUGAACCUAAGAAAAAGUCAAAAUCCUAAAAAAUUAGGUCAAAGUCAUAGAAGAAUACACUAACCUUAAAAUUCCCAAAUUAAAGCAAUUGAAGUGCGAAUUUGAGAGAAAUUGAAGUACAAAUUUGGCCUGACUUUCCAACAUAAAUCGAUUUUUGAAGCGGCACCAGUAACACCCACAGAUUUCACCAUCGGCAGCUCACUACUAGACCAUCUCCACAAGAUUAAAUGGUUUGUACCAAUUGUAGCGACUGUCGUUAGCGAUUUUGUAGCCCUAAUCAUCGAUUGUAACUAUGAGAAACUAUAUGUUUAAGCUAAGAGAGUAAUCGCAUCGUCGAUUCGAUUGUAGCGAUGAAAAGCUGUAGGUUUAACCUAAAAGAGAAAUCCCAUCGUCGAUUGUAGCGAGAGAAAUAAGAGAGAAUGUUUAAGCCCUAAUCGCUGAUUGUAAAAUGAAUAAGGUUUAAGAUGUAGGAAAGCUUUCUUUUGGCGGACUGAAUGAAAAGUUUUUGUGAAAAUGGAGGGAAUAAAUUAAGCGUUGACAUAGCUUAUUUUAUUUAGCUAUUGCAACGCUUAUGGUCAAAAUCAAUGGUUAAAAUGUUAAAUUAGAGCUAACAGAGCAAUAAUUUUUGGCAAUGCUUGCAACCGUUGCCAAAGACCACCUAUUGCAACGCUUUGUUAACCGCCGCCAAAACGUUAGUUGCAAUAGGGGUAAUUUCUAGUAGUGGUUCUAAUAUACUACUGUUUGUGGGUUAUAACUCAUAUGGAUUUAUCUCAAUAAACAUCUCUUUGAUGGGCAACAUAAUGCCCCUUCCCCAGCUCUUGCUUUAACUUAGCUACGCAAUAUUGAUGCUUAGCAGGCGAUUCAAUGAUCAAAUGCAACCCUUUUACCUUAUAUGUUAAAUGGAACCCUCUAAAAAAAUGAAGCACGAUCUAAAGCCUUUGAAAAUAAAUGUGGAUGCAGAGGAUAUGAUUACCUUGCUUAAUAAUGCAGACACAAAUACUAACAGUUCUACCCUAUUAUGUGAUUGCAGGUUCCUCCUUGUAAUCCGACAUGACAUUCAUAUCUACAAAAAGUAUAAUAGAUUAGCUAAUAGUCUAGCACGAAUAUUAUGUAGGGAAUAAACCCCACCACAAUAGUAAUAUUGCGGUAAUAAAGAGCAAUAAAUAUGACAACAAUAAUACGGUUAAUCAACAAAAACAAUAAGAGCGAUAAUGACACCAAGAUUUUUACGUGGAAACUCAAUAAGGAAAAAAUACCACAGGCCAAGAAGAGCAACUGAUAUCCCUGUAGUAAGGAAUUUUACACCAUAGUCCCAAUUACAAUACUCAAAGUGACUACUACACACUCAAAAGAAAUCUCUAUUUUGAUUUUUCCACCUCACUACAAUAUCGCUCACAGUCUCUAUUUUUUCUUCACAGACUUAACUCUCUGUGAUGCCUCACUCUAUUUUUCUUUCACUCUUUUGUUGGUGUGAUGUCUAAGUGAGCUGAAGCCCUCUAUUUAUAGUAAAAAGAGGGAGUGCAUAUAUGCCACUGAUGACAUAAUGUGUAGCAAUUGUCAACUACACAAUCUCUAAUUGAUAUCUUUCUUUCUGCAAUGGUUGAAGAAAGAAAACCAAAAGAAAAAGUUUUCAAUGUUUCAUUUAUGGGCUGGACCCCAUAAAUCUCCCCCUCCAGUCCCAUAAACCUGAAAGAGGUAUUCUCGUCUUCUCAAAGAGAGCUCAUGCCGACAAGUUCUUUGCACAAUUUGAACUUGUCUUGUGAUACCACCUUGGUCAGCAUAUCCAAAGGAUUCUCACUUGUAGGGAUUUUCUUGAUCAGCAUAGAUUUGUCCUCUAUCUUUUCUCGAAUCCAGUGAUAUCUCACAUCGAUAUGCUUCAUUCUUGCGUAAUACAUGGUGUUUCUGCUUAAGUCUAUUGCACUUUAACUUUCACAAUAGACAACGUUCUCCUUCAGAUCCAACCCAAGUUCUUGAAGAAACCGUUUCAAUCAUACCAUCUCCUUGCUAGCUUCAGUAGUUGUAAUAUACUGUACUUCAAUUUUAGAGAGUACGAUACACUUCUGCAACUUUGAUUGCCAUGAUAUAGCUCCCCCUAAAAAUGUAAACAAAUAUCCUGUAGUGGAUUUUUUGUUGUCAAGGUCACCUGCCAUAUCAGCACCUGUAUAGCCCUUCAACAUUAGAUCAGAUCCACCAAAACACAAGCAAUCUCCUGUGGUACCUCUCAAAUACCUAAGUAUACACUUGACUGCUUCCCAAUGUUCUUUCCCAGGAUUUUCAAGGAACCUUCUAACAACCCCAACUGCAUGAGCAAUAUCCAGUCUGGUACACACCAUGGCAUACAUCAAACUCUCGACUGCUGAAGAAUAAGGAACAUUAGCCAUAUUUCCUUUUUCUUUCUUUAUUGUAGAACAUAUUUUCUUACUUAACUUCAGAUGACCAGCGAGAGGUGUGCUAAUAACUUUAGCACUCUUCAUGUUGAAGCGUUCGAGUACACGUUCAAUGUACUUCUCCUAAGAUAGCCACAACUUUUAUCUUGAUCGUGCUCGAACAAUUUUCAUCCCCAGAAUUUGUUGUGCUGGGCCCAAGUCUUUCAUAUCAAAUGACUUGGACAAAUCUUUCUUCAACUUGGCAAUCAGCUCCUUGUUUUGUCCUACAAUCAACAUGUCAUUCACAUACAACACCAGAAUAAUAAAGUUGUUGUUUGAAAACCUUUUGAAGUAUACACAUGGUUCAGAAUAAGUCUUUUUGUAGAUUUGACUUUGCAUGAAUGAGUCAAACUUCUUGUACCACUGCCUUGGUGCCUACUUCAAUCCAUAAAGACUCUUAUUCGGUUUACAGACCAUGUGUUUCUUUCCAGCUACUUCAAAUCCUUCUGGCUGGUCCAUAUAAAUCUUUUCUUCCAAAUCUCCAUGAAGAAAUACAGUUUUCACAUCCAACUGCUCCACUUCAAGAUCUAGGCUAGCUUCUACGCUCAAAAUGGUUCGAAUAGAAGUCAUUUUGGCAACGGGUGAAAAGAUUUCAUCAAAAUCAAUACCUUUCUUCUAUUCGAAGCCUUUUCCCACCAAUCGAGCUUUAUAUCUGACCAGCUAUUUUCCAUUUCCAUCUUUCUUGAGUUUAAAAAACACUACUAAAAAUGCCUAAAAGCAAUGGCAAGUGUCGCUUUUUGGGGCAAAAGUGACGAAAAUCCAUCAUUUUUUUCGUCUAAAAAAGGGGCAUUUUUUAAAAACGACGGCAUGUGCCGCUUUUAUUAUGACAGACAGCGUCGCUUUUUGAAAAAAAAAAUUUACAUUUUUUAGAAGAAACGACGCAUAAUGUCAUUUUAUUGAAGGAAAAAUUAAAAAAAAUCAGAAAAAACGACAUUGUCCGUCGUAUUUUGAGAAAAAAAAUUCAUAAUGAAGAAAAAAAGCGACGUUGGCCGUCGCAUUUUGUUCUUCAUAAUGAAGAAAAAAAAGCGACGUUGGCCGUCACUUUUUGUAUUUCAUAAUGAAGAAAAAAAGUGAUGUUGACCGUCGCUUUUUAAAAAUUUUAUUUUAAAAAAUUUCAGAAACGUGACGGACGAAAGAGAUCAUGUCCGUCGCUUUUCUGCAUUUUUUUUAAUGCAAAAAUCUGCAUUUUUUGCAUCCCACCUGCCAAAUAAAAAUGCAAUUCAAUAUAUACAGCCUCAUGCAACGCACAUUUCUAAAAUAAUCAUACAACACACAACAUUAUCAAAACAUUUAAGCAAUUCAAAUCAACAACACUUACACAAUCAAAUCCAAAAUACAAAACACUUAAUAAUUAAUCCAACAACCACCAAAACACUUAAACAAUUCUAAAGUUUUUUCAUUGGAGUCUACAGGUGUCCAAGAUUUCCUUUUAGCAGUUGACUUCGAGCUCUUACAUCAAAACAUAUAAAACAUAUAAAAAUCAAGUCAUUAGUUCAUAUUUCAUAUGACUACACUUAAUAUUUUCAAGUUACUAGUAUACAUUUCAAGAUGCUAUACUUAAUCCAUUUUUAAAUAUCUAAUUGACAUUUUAUUUCACUAUGCUUAACCAUUUUCAAAUGACUAAUAGACAUUUCAAGUAACUACACUUAACCAUUUUCAAAUAAAUAAUUCACAUUGUAAGUCACCACACUUAGAAUAUUUUCAAGUUACUAGUACACAUUUCAAAUCACUACACUUAACUAUUGUCAAUUAAGUAAAUCACAUUUCAAGUCAAUAUACUUAAUCAUUUUCAAGUGACUAUACCUUAUUAUUUUAAAGUUAUUAGUACACUUUUCAAGUAACUACACUAAACCAUUUUUAAGCAUCAAGUUCACAAUUUCAAGUAACUACACUUAACCGUUUUCAAGUCACAAGUUCACAAUUUCAAGUAACUACACUUAAUCAUUUUUAAGUCACUACAAUUAAUAAUUUUCAAAUAACUUAUUCACUAGUACACAUUUCAAGUCACUACACUCAAACCAUUUUCAAAUAGCUAAUUGACAUUUCAAGUUACUAUACUUAAGCAUUUUCAAGUAACUACACUUGAACCAUUUUCAAGUCACUAGUACACAUUUCAAGUCACUAUACUUAACCAUUGUCAAAUAACUAAUUCACGUUUCAAGUCACUACACUUAACCAUUUUCAAAUAACUAAUUCACAUUUCAAAUCACUACACUUAACCAUUUUCAAAUAAGUAUUUUACAUUUAAAAUAACUAUACUUAACCGUUUUCAAGUCACUACACUUAAUCAUUCAUUUCAAAUCACUAUACUUAAUCACUUUCAAGUAACUAAUUCACAUUCUAAGUAACUACACUUAACCAUUUUCAAGUCACUAGUAACCGUUUUUAAGUCACUAGUAACCGUUUUCAAGUCACAAGUUUACAAUUUCAAGUAACUACACUAAACCAUUUUCAAGUCACUACACUUAAUAAUUUUCAAAUAACUUAUUCACAUUUCAAGUCACUACACUCUAACCAUUUUCAAAUAGCUAAUUGACGUUUCAAGCCACUAUGCUUAACCAUUUUCAAGUCAUGUACUAGCAUUUCAAGUCACUACACUUAACUGUUUUUAAUUAACUAAUUCACAUUUUUAAGUCACUAUACUUAACCAUUUUCAAAUAACUACACGUUUUAACCAUUUUCAAGUCACUAGUACACAUUUCAAGUCACUACACUUAACUGUUUUUAAUUAACUAAUUCACAUUUUUAAGUCACUAUACUUAACCAUUUUCAAGUAACUACACUUAACCAUUUUCAAGUCACUAGUACACAUUUCAAGUCACUACACUUAACUGUUUUUAAUUAACUAAUUCACAUUUUUAAGUCACUAUACUUAACCAUUUUCAAGUAACUACACUUAACCAUUUUCAAGUCACUAGUACACAUUUCAAGUCACUACACUUAACUGUUUUUAAUUAACUAAUUCACAUUUUUAAGUCACUAUACUUAACCAUUUUCAAGUAACUACACUUAACCAUUUUCAAGUCACUAGUACACAUUUCAAGUCACUAAACCAUUUCAAAUAACUAGUACACAUUUCAAGUCUCUACACUUAAUCAUUUUCAAAUAAAUAAUUCACAUUUUAAAUCAUUACACUUAACCAUUUUAAAAUAAUUAAUUCACAUUUCAAGUCAAUCCAAGUUCUGUGGUUUCUAUGUGAAAAUGGAACAAAAUUGAAAUUGGAAAAAAUAAACCGAAGUGUUAACUAUUAGUUGCUUGAUGUUUGUUUGUUUCCAUAAUAAAAGAAUCACUGGCUCCAGAAUGCUUUUCUAGUAUAUUUGUUUUAUAAUUUGUGAUAGUAUUUGUUUUCAUCCUUUCAGUAUUAUGAUCAGUUGAUGCAAUGUAUAUGUUCCAAAAUAUAUGGAUAUUGUUGUCAUUGUGUGCUAGUGUUGGUUAGUUUUUUAUUUUUUAUUUUUUGAUCGAACUAGUUAAGGAGCUGAUUGGAGUAGUUCAAUUAGGUAAUAUAUUCAUUAGUAUUAGAAAUUAAUAAUUUGAAAACAAAAAUAAGAAACCUAUGUGCUUUGUAAUAGGACUUCCAUUAACUUCAUAUAUCUUGAUUUUAUCAGGAACUACAGAAGACAACAAGUAGAUAAGAGACUCCCACUCGUUUCUUCCAAUUGAAUCCCUAACAAAUACAACCCGUCUGUUUCGCAGCUUUUCCAACGUAAUUUUUGCAUCGAAUCUACUUAAGAGUAAAUAGAAAAUUCAAAAUUUGCAUUCAAUAAUCAUGAAAAAGAUUAAUAAUUUGAAAACAAAAAUAAGACUGAUUUUAUUCUCUAAAGCACUAGUUUGAAAUUAAGCAACCGUGAAUUAAAAGGAAAACAGUUGAACAUCAAAAGAAAAAUAACAACAUAGUACAAUAAAGGGGGCCGACAUUACAUGAGGGCCUCAUUCCGCUUGCUGCUAUUUAAGCCGGUGGCAGCGGCUGGAUGGGCUGGCGGUAGCUGUGGUGUCGGUUGGCCGGAGAACGGCGGCGGCUGACGGAUAGGGCUGUUGGUGAUGGUGGCAUGUUUCACCGGCUGGAAAUGAAGAGAGAGAAAAGAAGGGUAUAGGGAAAGGGGAGGCUUCUCCGUUCAUGGUUGCACCUGUGGUGGAAGAGGUGGCGGUCGACGACAGCCAUGGCUGCUAGCAGAGAGAGGAAGAGAGAGAUGACAGUAGAAUAUGUUAGGGUUUGGUGAAUAUGUUAGGGUUUGGCCAUGAUUUUGUUUAAAAGGGAAGAAGAGGAUGAUUUAAUCUUAGCCGUUG